AAACAAAAUGGGGAAAUUGAAGUUGGUGAGUAUGUUAGAAGAAAAUAAAGGUUGCCUAGGAAUGAUAUUGGUGCAGCUUACAUAUGCAGGCAUGGCUAUGUUCUCGAAAGUCGCCAUUGAUCGAGGAAUGAACCCUUACAUCUUCGUUGUUUAUCGCCAGGCGUUCGCAACCAUAACCUUAGCUCCAUUCGCCUUCUUUCUCGAUAGGAAGAACCUGAUCACCCUUUGUCCUACACCCUAAUCUUGAAGAUUUUCUUGAGUUCUUUCUUCGGCAUAACUUUGAGUUCGAAUCUAUACUCAUAUGCAAUAAACUACGUCUCCGCAACAUUUGCUUCCGUUGGCAUCAACACAAUUCCGGCUCUCACCUUUCUCAUCGCUGUUAUAUUUCGAUUUGAGACAUGUUCGAUAAGAACUUCAGCUGGAAUAGCGAAAUUUGUUGGUUCGGGUUUGAGCUUAUCGGGAGCAAUGGUGUAGGCCUUCGUAAAGGGCCUCUAGUUAGGUUGAUGAAAUGCUCAAAUUCAAUGAAUUCUAAGGAUUCCAAUGAGAAAUGGGUGCAUGGUUGCAUGCUUA